UGAAGUUCCAUGCCCGAUUGGAUUACCAGAAAGGAUUCUACCCCUCAGAAUGGAUUUGACAAUGCCUUUGAUUGACCUCGCAGCUGCUCAACACACAAAGGUUCAUCUUCUGAGGCAGAGGUUGUGGAUCAGACAAAAGUACAACUUGUGGAGGCAAUUGAGCACUCUGCUUCAUAUGCAAAAUCGAGGGUACAUUCUGAUGUAGAUUUCGCAUAGCGGGAAAUGAAGGUAUUUUGUUUUUCUUUUAAAUUGCAUUGGGCAAUUUCCUUUAUUUCUUAUAUGAAACGCUAUAGGCUUUGUACAAGUAUUUUAUACGUUAUUACCAUUCUUCUAAAAAGGGACAGCUCUUUUCUUUCCAAUUUAAAGUAGUGGAUAAUGACUUUGGCAGCAUUUUCCUGCCUUUUUCAAGUUUAUGGAACCCAUUCCUCAUCAUUAGGC
rnacentral:lncRNA from 1 species